UGCACUUGCGGUUGGGACGCAUCAGGUUAUCAACUGCUAAUUAAAUCUUGAAUUGGUUUGUCAAAUGCUUGCAUAAUACUCGCCUCUUGCAUCUGUACACUCGAAGCAUGUUGGAUGCAACAAAGAUUUUCCAAUACUUGCAUUUUUAUUGUGCUAAGGUAAAAUUUGCUAUUUAAAUUCUCCUGCUUAAUCAAACAAAUCAGGAGAAACAUAUAUUAGGAAGGCUGAAAGAUUUCAGGAUUCCAUUGCACAACAUAAAAUCCUAACAAUUAUCAUGAAGUUGACAACCGUACAGGUUACAGGUUUAGCUUGGCUAUGGUUACAAGGCAAAGCUUCAACUGAACCAGUGUUAUCAAAGGCGAG
rnacentral:misc_RNA from 1 species